AAACGAGGAAAGGAAGCAAAACAAAGAGCUAGAAAUCAUGCAUAUGAUUGUUGCAAUUCUGCAUAUGAACCCCUAGAGGUUUUCGCAGUAGUUUGGAUUGCGCGUGCAAAUGUUUUGCAAAGUGAGUUUGCUACCAGUUUGCUUUUUAAUUGCGUGGAUGAAAUGAUGUGUAUCCCACUGUAUGAAGCGUUUGCUGUUCUACGUCGUCAGCCCUAACAGCAAUGCAAAUCAUUGUUUCAAUUACUUACAAUAUGAGCCGCUAGAGGUUUUCGCAGCAGCUCAGGUGUGUUUGAUCGGACUGGAGUAAUCGAUGCACAAUUUUGAAAAUCGAUUAUAUAUGAGGCUCACACCAUUUUCUAUUUCAAUGUGAGAUUGCUGAAAUUUUAAUAAUAUUUGCCAUUAAAAAGAGAGGAAGUAUGCAGUCACAAGAAGAGAAUUUAGAAGUGUAUUGAUGUCAAGAAACAUUCUUGCAAUGGACCAUGUACAUCGUAUACACUGUUUUUGGGACUUAGCCAUAAGAGUAGCCAGAGGUCGAAAAUAAUUACAUAUGUCUAAUUUGUUUUCAAUAAGUUGGAGUUAGAGAUUGUAAACAG